CUGAUGGAUUGGAUCUUUGUAAUAAGUCUUUGUUUACUGGCUUUAAAUACGUGUAUGGCAUGUCCUGCGUCAAUAGAAACACUAAUCUACGUCCCAUCCUGCCCAAAGACUCUCGAGGAAUGGAGACUACGAGCAGAAUCCAAGAGGUGUUCACAUGUGAUGCAGAACUGCACAAGUCAGCAAAAUUUUGUCUAUCACUGUGUGAUCAACAAUUUCGCUAAUGCAACAAUGGAGGUUUGUGCAAAGGAGAUCCACAUCAUCGACAACAGAUGUACUGAGUUUAAUAUCAAAGCCGAAAAAAUAAUAGAAAGCUACACAAAACGAUGUCAGGGAUAUUGUCCAUUUAAAUACAACUCUACAGAAGCCU